GAUGAAGAACGCAGCGAAAUGCGAUAAGUAGUGUGAAUUGCAGAAUUCAGUGAAUCAUCGAAUCUUUGAACGCACAUUGCGCCCCUUGGUAUUCCAUGGGGCUUGCCUGUUCGAGCGUCAUUUGUACCUUCAAGCUCUGCUUGGUGUUGGGUGUUUGUCUCGCCUCUGCGUGUAGACUCGCCUCAAAACAAUUGGCAGCCGGCGUAUUGAUUUCGGAGCGCAGUACAUCUCGCGCUUUGCACUCAUAACGACGACGUCCAAAAGUACAUUUUUACACUCUUGACCUCGGAUCAGGUAGGGAUACCCGCUGAACUUAAGCAUAUCAAUAAGCGGAGGA
rnacentral:misc_RNA from 1 species